CUCCCUGCUACCGGACAUUGAAGCUUCUGCAGUGUGGUCACGCAGAAUUGGAAAAUGGCCUAAAAUGAGGUGGGAGGGUUCUCUACCAGGAGCGUCCCCAAGCCCACGCCUGGAAAAACCUUGGACUCCUUACCGGUGCGGAUGGGGCAGUUUGUUGAAGAGGAACAGCAGCUGCACCCUUUGAGAGCCUGCCACCUCCCCGGAACUUUCAGAGACGUCCAGGUUUUACUGUGAAACCCAGCGAGCGGGUGAUUGGCAGGCAGACCGCGGAGGCCCCUCGGGAAGCGCGGGCGGGGGCACAGCCUUGCGGGCCUGGCUACCAGCGCAGCCCCGGCUGAGAAGGGAAGCUGAGCGCGGCUGAGUCCACCCAGCGCGAGCUACCGGGCAAACAGAGGCGGCAGAAGCGUAAAAAAAGCAAGCCUUAGUUGAUCUACUGUCUUCUAUUUCUUUGCUGAAAGAAACAGUUAAU